UACGUAGGGGGCAAGCGUUGUCCGGAUUUAUUGGGCGUAAAGAGCGUGUAGGCGGCCAUGUAGGUCCGUUGUGAAAACUCGAGGCUCAACCUCGAGACGCCGAUGGAAACCAUGUGGCUAGAGUCCGGAAGAGGAGAGUGGAAUUCCUGGUGUAGCGGUGAAAUGCGCAGAUAUCAGGAAGAACACCCGUGGCUAAGGCGGCUCUCUAGUAUGGUACUGACGCUGAGACGCGAAAGCGUGGGGAGCAAACAGG
rnacentral:rRNA from 1 species